GCUGGGAGGGGGACAAACCAGUGAACUCCCAACACACUGCCUGUCUCCAGUGCUGGGGAUUACAAGGCAGCAGUCCAACAUCUGACUACAAUGUAGAGACUGAACUAGCUCAUGCUUACAUACAUACAGAACCUGAAGUUACCUCAGAACCUACAUACAAGUCCAAAGGAAUGUAGGUUUGGGGUAACAAAUACUAAUUAGCUUGUAACUAGUUUUUGUUUGUUUAGAACUACAAGAUUAGUAAACAGAACAAUUUUAGUAAUCAUUAUGGUACAACUACCAAAGUCUUCCGAAUGAAAGCUCUUUAAACUUUUAAUUACUGAUUUUCAAUCACUGGUACGAAAACCUUCAAAGUCAUUUAUCACUCAAAAAGCACAUUAUCGGCCUAUUAA
rnacentral:lncRNA from 1 species